ACAAGCGGAAGCAGACCGAUCUCUGCUUUCGUAAAUACUCCGUCGUUUACAUUGAUUCCCUUCCUUCUGUUUUUGUUGCAGUCAUAAUCAACGCAUUUGCUGCUAAAAUGGCUCUCACAUAUGAGGAACCACAACCAGAAAGUGGCAAAGGCAUACACACCCAGGAAAGUGGUGAUGCAGGUUUCUCAGCUGACAUAAAGCACGUCUUCAGUGACAAUUACCAAGACAACAUUCCUGGAUGUGGGCUGACAAAUGCAAAUAAAAAGAGUUCUGUGAGACCCAUGUUUAUUGAAGCAGAGAUCUCUGAGCUGACAAAGAAGGAAAUGCCAGUGGUGUUUGAGCCUAAGUACCUUGUGUCUACCGGGAAAGAGUUGGGUGAAGCGAGAAACAGGAAGCAGUCAAGCCCUGACCUGGAAGAGCAACCAUUUCAAGGAAAGAUGGACAGAGGACUGAAAGAAGUGUUUCCUCCAUGCCGCCCGAGACAGAAAGCUCGCAAAAAAAUUCAAAAGAGUCAUCCGAGGGUUCCAGGAAGAAGAAAUCCUAACCGCCACAGCACAAAUUUAAAGUGGAAAACCUUGAUUGGUGUGUGUUGUUCCAUGAUGACAAUGCAGUUAGUUGUCUGUGACGCAUCGGCUGGCAUUUGCUUCACCUGCAUGGAUAAGGCCAGAUGUCCAAACCUGAUAACAAUAUAUGUGAAAAAUGAUCGUCUGGUCUAUGACAGACCCACUGAAGAAGAAAUCCCAACGUGUUCUGGAGCCCCUCCCAUCACACAGAACUGUUUUGUGUGCUGGUCUCAGUCAGACGUGAACAUCUACUGUCCCAACAACAUCACAGCAUUUGAGGCUGAGGAUUGCAAUGGCUCAAGAAUCACAAACAUCAUUAAAGGGUGUGAAGAGCAGCAGAAGUCUUACCUGGCACCUAAUGGACCAGCUAACGAAGCGAGUAUGUACAGUAUAUGGUUUGGAUCACAACACUAUUGGGCUUUGCAGGUCAUUGAAAUUAACUGUGAUAAUUGUCAUAAAAGCACAGUUUUUUGGUGCUCUUUCUUUUAUUGCAAUGUGGCAGAAAAUAAAGGGUGACAAUUCUAGUUGGCUGUAGGUUUGGAGUAAAACCACAUAUAGCUGGACAGAGAACUGAUACCAGUACGUAUGGGUCUUUCUCUACCACUGAGCCCUGAGACAGAUAGCAGGGCUGUCUUGAUCUGUUGAGAAGGUAGUCAAGCAAAAAACAAUUCAAAAUGCCUUUGAAAAUCUAUUUAACAUCUAGUUUUCAUUCUAAUACUAUUUACUAUUUUUGCUUCAUUUGUAGGUCGCACUCAUUUACUUACUGGACUCAUGGGUAGUGUUGUUGCUGUUGUGAUGCUGCUCUGAAUCACGGUGAUCUACAUCAUGAGUGUGCCUGGUUGUGAAGACUGAACCUGCUAUUAUUUCAUCACAAUUUGUGCUUAAAUGCAACUUUUAUUUUCAGGUCUGGAAGAAUGAAGAUGGUUGGUUAAAUUUUCCAUAGAGUUGGAUUUUUAAAUAAUUCUUCUUAACAUUUCUGUUAAUUUUCUGAUAUUUUUUGUUUAUACGUUUUGUUUUUUUAGUUGUAUAUGUAUAAUAAACUCAAAAAUCAAAUAAUCCCAAAAAUAAAGUAAGUUACUUAUGAUAUUUUUAAUCUCUAACUAUUUACAGUAACAUCUUUUUGUAUUUGUUAACAUUAUAGGAAAUGUGAUGAAAGCACUAAAGAAAAUCCAGGUAGAAACGGCUCCCAUAGUCACUAUUACUCCCUUGAUUCUGUUUUUGUUGCUUGCUAUUUUCCACUUGUGUAUUUGCUUUAAGUCUUUUUCUUUGUAGUUAACCACACUUAUUACUACUGCGACUUACUAAUCAAUCAAUUGCCAAGUCAAUACAAAAUCCUUUAGGCUAAUUAAUUUUUAAAUGCAUGCUAGUCUUAAUGACAUAUUACUGUUUGCAAUUAAUAAACAAUAAAAAUACAUCCAACAUGA